GUAGGGAAUAUUGGGCAAUGGAUGCAAGUCUGACCCAGCCAUCCCGCGUGCAGGAAGAAGGCCUUCGGGUUGUAAACUGCUUUUGUACGGAACGAAACGGUCCGGGUUAAUACCCUGGGCUAAUGACGGUACCGUAAGAAUAAGCACCGGCUAACUACGUGCCAGCAGCCGCGGUAAUACGUAGGGUGCAAGCGUUAAUCGGAAUUACUGGGCGUAAAGCGUGCGCAGGCGGUUUUGUAAGACAGGCGUGAAAUCCCCGGGCUCAACCUGGGAAUUGCGCUUGUGACUGCAAGGCUGGAGUGCGGCAGAGGGGGAUGGAAUUCCGCGUGUAGCAGUGAAAUGCGUAGAUAUGCGGAGGAACACCGAUGGCGAAGGCAAUCCCCUGGGCCUGCACUGACGCUCAUGCACGAAAGCGUGGGGAGCAAACAGGAUUAGAAACCCCAGUAGUCC
rnacentral:rRNA from 1 species